rfam:Felis catus isolate Cinnamon breed Abyssinian chromosome A2, whole genome shotgun sequence.
GCCUGGGUGGCUCAGUCGGCUGAGCAUCCGACUUCGGCUCAGGUCACGAUCUCCCGGUUCGUGGGUUCGAGCCCCGUGUCAGGCC